UGGGGAAUAUUGGGCAAUGGGCGCAAGCCUGACCCAGCAACGCCGCGUGAGGGAAGAAGGCUUUCGGGUUGUAAACCUCUGUCCUUGGUGACGAAGAAAGUGACGGUAGCCAAGGAGGAAGCCCCGGCUAACUACGUGCCAGCAGCCGCGGUAAUACGUAGGGGGCGAGCGUUGUCCGGAAUUACUGGGCGUAAAGGGUGCGUAGGUGGCCUUUUAAGUUGGAUGUGAAAUACCCGGGCUUAACUUGGGGGGGGCAUCUAAUACUGGAGGGCUAGAGUGCAGGAGAGGGAAGCGGAAUUCCUAGUGUAGCGGUGAAAUGCGUAGAUAUUAGGAGGAACACCAGUGGCGAAGGCGGCUUUCUGGACUGUAACUGACACUGAGGCACGAAAGCGUGGGGAGCAAACA
rnacentral:rRNA from 1 species